rnacentral:rRNA from 1 species
GCAUAAUCACUUGCCCAUUAAUUGUGGGCUAGAAUGAACGGACCAACGAAAUAAAACCUGUCUCUGUAAACUUUAUAUAAAUUAAAAUCUAACUGAAGAUUGUUAGAUGCCACUGAAGGACAAGAAGACCCUAUAGAGCUUAAUUUUAAAUUGUACUAAAAUCAGUCUAAAAAUUCGGUUGGGGCGACCAGGGAAAUUAAUAAUCAUCCCUUAGUCAAAGAUUUAUUAAUCUAUAAAUAAGACCCUACUAAGAUCUAAAGAACAAGCUACCUUAGGGAUAACAGGCUAAUCCUGCUAAAGAGUCCUUAUCUAUGGCGGGGG